AUUGAACGCUGGCGGCAGGCCUAACACAUGCAAGUCGAGCGGAAGAAGGGAGCUUGCUCCUGGAUUCAGCGGCGGACGGGUGAGUAAUGCCUAGGAAUCUGCCUGGUAGUGGGGGAUAACGUCCGGAAACGGGCGCUAAUACCGCAUACGUCCUGAGGGAGAAAGUGGGGGAUCUUCGGACCUCACGCUAUCAGAUGAGCCUAGGUCGGAUUAGCUAGUUGGUGGGGUAAAGGCCUACCAAGGCGACGAUCCGUAACUGGUCUGAGAGGAUGAUCAGUCACACUGGAACUGAGACACGGUCCAGACUCCUACGGGAGGCAGCAGUGGGGAAUAUUGGACAAAGGGCGAAAGCCUGAUCCAGCCAUGCCGCGUGUGUGAAGAAGGUCUUCGGAUUGUAAAGCACUUUUAGUUGGGAGGAAGGGCAGUAAGUUAAUACCUUGCUGUUUUGACGUUACCAACAGAAUAAGCACCGGCUAACUUCGUG
rnacentral:rRNA from 1 species